GACGAACGCUGGCGGCGUGCUUAACACAUGCAAGUCGAACGGAAAGGCCCUGCUUUUGUGGGGUGCUCGAGUGGCGAACGGGUGAGUAACACGUGAGUAACCUGCCCUUGACUUUGGGAUAACUUCAGGAAACUGGGGCUAAUACCCGAUAGGAGCUCCUGCUGCAUGGUGGGGGUUGGAAAGUUUCGGCGGUUGGGGAUGGACUCGCGGCUUAUCAGCUUGUUGGUGGGGUAGUGGCUUACCAAGGCUUUGACGGGUAGCCGGCCUGAGAGGGUGACCGGCCACAUUGGGACUGAGAUACGGCCCAGACUCCUACGGGAGGCAGCAGUGGGGAAUAUUGCACAAUGGGCGGAAGCCUGAUGCAGCAACGCCGCGUGCGGGAUGACGGCCUUCGGGUUGUAAACUGCUUUCGCCUGUGACGAAGCGUGAGUGACGGUAAUGGGUAAAGAAGCACCGGCUAACUACGUG
rnacentral:rRNA from 1 species